GCACAGCCUCUAAAGGUUUCAGCUCAUUUACGAAUCUUCUGUAGGGGAGGAGGUAAUGAAACCACAUGUACCUGACACUCAACCUUGGAGAUCAGUGCCAUCUACUUAAAGCUGGUUGAGUGCCCGUCACCUGUUGUGUUGGAUCAGGAAUAUUUCAUUUUAGAGGCCAUGGAAACCCAAGUGCUCCUGUAGCACUGCACAACCAUGCGCUCUGUUAUGACAGGUCUGGAUUGUUGAUUUGCCCAUAGUAAAGCAGAUGCAGAAAACAACCUUUUCUUUCUGGUGAUUAUGUCAGCAGCCCAGCAGAGCUGUCACACAUCUAGGAAAGUAAACAUGAUGUCAAUGUGUAAUGAUAGGAGGAAAAAUAGAGAGAUUAUGUCCUUGUGUCAACGUGUAGCAGUACUGGAGCACUGCUUGUGUUUAAAUGUCUGCUGAUGCCAAUUCUGUUUACUAUUUUCCUUCCAGAUAUAAAGUGACAGAGCUGACUGCAAAACCAGUUCACGUUAGCACUGUACUUCAACAAAAAAAAUGCAUGCACAAGGUAGUCGGUUUUUCUAAUAACUGUUUCUAAGUAAUAAAUCGUGUAUAUACUGUGCUGUUUCUGGGCAUAAAUAAUGAUUACAUUCAGUGUUUUCAUCUCUGCAGUGCUCCCGGCGUCCGGCCCCGCUUCCCGCUCCGGGGAGAGGCCGGACUCUCACCGCGACCGCCAUGCAGCCCCGCAGCCGCCGGGGACCCGGGGUGGGAGGGCUUUGUGCCGGCGCCGCGGCUGCUCUCCGCCUUUCCGCGCUUCGUGGCACCGCCCUCCCGGGGGCGAGAAGACCGCCAGCCCGUUUCUCCCGCAGGACUGUGUCGCUGGUAACGGCGAGAGUGUUGCGUUGGCAGGAAGCCGGGGCGCGGCGGGGCCAUAGCUGGACGUAGGGCACAAAGAAGCAGCUCACUGCCCUUCCCCCGCCCGGGCUGGGCGAGUGCUUGAUAAAGCGUUCGGGAGAAGUUGGUGUCAGGGCUCCAGUGGCGCAAUCGGUUAGCGCGCGGUACUUAUACAGCAGUACUAAAGCCGAGCAAUGCCGAGGUUGUGAGUUCGAGCCUCACCUGGAGCACAGUGCUUUUUGAGAGAAAGAAAGGGCUUUUUUUGAGACUGCUCGUGAGGAGGAAAUGGAGGAACUGAUAAGCUUAUGGAAAAAUUAUAUGCGGGCCUCUAAGCGCGUCCCUGCUGCCACGGACGUGUCGAACCAUGUGGGUGGGUGGAUCCUUUCUGCUUGUUCUAGAAGCGGGGGAGAAGUGGACACACAGAGGGAGCACUUGCAUGGGGCACUUUUUCUAUACAUUCGGUUGUGUAGACACCUGCUUACGUAUGCUUACGUAGAUGCGCCUUUAAUACUUUUAUAGAACAGCUUUUUAGUGUGCAGUCAACGUUGUCCUGGUAAAGCUGUCUGUAUGUGCCUCCUUGCAGGAAGUAAAGGUUGCUUUAUAGUAGCUUAUUUAACACAGCGCCGCCUAUUGCCUUCUGCGAUCACUACAAGCGAUCCCUUCCUUCUUCAGUAUGCAUAUUCACCGUAACUGCUCACUAAUAUGAUAAUGUUUUGCAAAUGUGUAGUCCAGAGAAGGAAGGAAAAGAACUCAAAUAGUUUUAGAUUUGCUUUUAUAAUUGGAAAAGUGGCAACGUUGGAGAAAAAGGGCAGUUUCUUCUGGAAAGAAAAUUGGAAGAUACCUCUCAAGCAUUUAGGCCCAGAGCUUGUAAAAAUGCCUGUUAGCAUCUAUCUAACCUACUAUUACAGCACUGUAACUUAUAUAAAUAGUUAAUUAUUGAGAACCUUGGGAUUGUGCAGCCAGAAGCAUCACCAUUGCCCAAAUCAGCCCACAGGUGUGUUAUGCAGGCACCUAAUUCCUUGAAGCUUCUCUUCUAAUUCUAGUUCUUCAGUUACCACAUCUUCCCUCUCCUAGCGACCACCUUGGCUCCUCUGAAUUUUUCAGGAAACUUCACCAUUGAUUUCAGUGAUGGUACACUUGUGGCUGAGGUGUGCACCUUAUCAGCGUGAUGAGGCCUAAAUAAACAGAGUAGAGAUACAAUUCACCUGCUUGCUGUUUCAUGUUUCCUCCUUUGUGGAUGAGUACAUCAAAAUGAUGGGGAGUGAAGACAGGAUGGAGUAAUGUUUACAGAAGUGUUAAUGUAGUAAAAAAAAAAAAAAAAAAAAAAAAGAAAAGAAAGCGCUAUUUCUGUGCAACUGAAAAGGAGAAUAACAGAAAGCAUGUUGUUUGUGAUGGCAGAGGCAACCUGCUCCCAAGGUUGGACCCACCUUAUGAAGACCUGGGAAAAAUACAACUUCCUCCUCUUCCUAACAGGUGCCUUCUGUUUGUAAUAAAGGUUUUGGCUUGGUUUGCUGAGGGUGAUAGCGCAAUUUUUACCAUAUCCAAGGAGCACAAAAUGGACGCUACUUACUGCAUUCACAGCAGCGGCCCAGCUUCUCUGUAAUGUGCUUCUGCUGUACCAGAGAGCAGCAGGACAAGCAGUAAGAAUUGCACAAUGCAAAGACUCAAAGACCAAAAUUGCCAUGUGAGCAACACCUGUUUGCAUUCCUGCAGUAGAAGCUGACAUUCCUGAUUGCUUAACACAUGAGAGAGAUAUGAGAUGAGGAUUUCACACUGGAAGUCAUAUAAAAUCAGGACAGUUAAGGGGGAAUUCACUCAGCUUGCACAACAAAAGGAUGUUAUUUACCUGUGUAUAAUGGCUGUUUGUGAAACAAAUUGUACAGAACUUUUACAAAAGACUUAGUACAUCCUGAGGAAUGCUGGACCAUGAGAUAUCCUGUUUUCCUCUUGGUUUACAAAGAAAACUCAGUGUCAGGGGAAGACUGGGAUGUGCUGGACUAAUAAAUUUGUCUGAAGCCAAGAAUGACCCUGGUUUGGCUCUGGAAAGAGUACUGAGCAGCCAAGGACAUUUGGAUGGUCAAAUCCAACUCAGUAUGGUCUGCUGAGCCUGUUCCUUGCUUCUGCGAUGUCACUACUGACACCAAAUUACCUGCCUCUCUCUAGCUCCCCCCAUGGAUAUCUAAAGCUGAUAAAUGUGAGAACACAUGAACAAUAUUCUCGGUAUUUCUAUCUGAAGUAGGCUGUUCCAUAUCUGACAGUGUUUUUUCAUUUCCUAAGAAUAUUUUGGGGGAAAAAAAAAAAAAAAAAAGGUUUUAUUUGGUUUUCUGAUCAGCAGAGAAGUUAAAACAGGAAAUAUACGGGAUUUAAGGUUUUAUAACAUGAUAAUAAACCUCUUACUGCUUUAGUGCAUUUCUUGUAACCUUUUUGCAGAUUUGGUUAGUGUUUUAAGCCUUUGACUUUCAAAAUAUUUUUGUUAUUAAAAUUCAGUAAGCAAAUGUCAUUAAACUCUUGCUUUUGGAUAGUAUAUUCUUACACGCUGCUUAAUGGAAAACUAGGAGUAGAAUUUUCCUGCUAAGUU